AGAAUCCAUAAACAGGGGGCCAGUGAGUAAAUUGAGAGAGAGAAGCAGACUCCCUGCUGAGCUGGGAGCACUCUGGCUCCAUCCCAGGACCUUGAGAUCAUGGCCUGAGCCAAAGGCAAACACUAAACUGACUGAAUCACCCAGUGAAAUUUAUUAAGCUGCUUUACUAAUUACAUCUGGAUUUUGUGUAAGAAUUUGAAAAGUCUCCAACUACAAAUGAACUUAAAUGUUUUCGGUAUUACUUAUUUUUGCAAUUUUCAUAUUUCAGUUGGAAUUUUUAAUUGUUUAGUGUGAAGAACAGAUCCAGUUUUAUCAUUUAAAAGGUAUGUAUGGAUACCAAAUCCCCUCAAUAUCAAUUUUUAAAGGGUAA
rnacentral:lncRNA from 1 species